rnacentral:rRNA from 1 species
AGUGAACGCUGGCGGUAGGAGUAACACAUGCAAGUCGAACGCGUGGCGGAAGGGUGAGGAAUACAUCGGAAUCUACUCUAUCGUGGGGGAUAACGUAGGGAAACAUACGCUAAUCCCACAUACGAUUGAAUGAGCCGAUGUCGGAUAAGCUAGUUGGCGGGGUAAAGGCCCACCAAGGAGACGAUCCGUAGCUGGUAUGAGAGGAUGAUCAGCCACACUGGAACUGAGACACGGUCCAGACGCCUACGGGAGGCAUCAGUGGGGAAUAUUGGACAAUGGGGGCAAGCCUGAUCCAUCCAUACCGCGUGGGUGAAGAAGGCCUUCGGGUUGUAAAGCCCUUUUGUUGGGAAAGCGGUACCCAAAGAAUAAGCACCGGCUAACUCCGUGCCAGCCGCCGCGGUAAUUC